rnacentral:rRNA from 1 species
AUGGGCGACCAGGAGGCGGCGUGCUUGGAGCGUAGGGUGGUACUGAUACACUCGACAUCAGGGAAUUUCCCGCUUGCGCAAGAUCAAACUGCAGCAGUUUGUGAUGCAAAGGCCGACUGCCUGGCUUGUCGGCGUGGUACUGACCCUAAAUUUAGGGCUGCUAGAAGCAGCAACAUCAACACAUGCAUAGCGGGUAAACAGAACAUGCAAAGUAGCAAGCAAUCAGGCAAGCUCCGCACCUUCCCUGAUCCGGAAAAUCCUGAAAAUAACCAAAAUGGCCUAAGCUCAGAAGCAUUUUACUUCACUGAAAUCUUAACACUUGAUGAGCUAAAGAUAAAAAAACUACCGAUUAUUACAAUAUCAGCGGAAGUUCUCUGUUAG